CCAGACUCCUACGGGAGGCAGCAGUGGGGGAUAUUGCACAAUGGGGGGAACCCUGAUGCAGCGACGCCGCGUGAGUGAAGAAGUAUUUCGGUAUGUAAAGCUCUAUCAGCAGGGAAGAAAAUGACGGUACCUGACUAAGAAGCCCCGGCUAACUACGUGCCAGCAGCCGCGGUAAUACGUAGGGGGCAAGCGUUAUCCGGAUUUACUGGGUGUAAAGGGAGCGUAGGUGGCAUGGUAAGCCAGAAGUGAAAACCCGGGGCUCAACUCCGAGGAUUGCUUUUGGAACUAUCAAGCUGGAGUGCUGGAGGGGUAAGCGGAAUUCCUAGUGUAGCGGUGAAAUGCGUAGAUAUUAGGAGGAACACCGGUGGCGAAGGCGGCUUACUGGACAGAAACUGACACUGAGGCUCGAAAGCGUGGGGAGCAAACAGGAUUAGAUACCCGCGUA
rnacentral:rRNA from 1 species